rnacentral:rRNA from 1 species
CACGUAGGGGACGAGCGUUGUCCGGAUUCAUUGGGCGUAAAGCGCGCGUAGGCGGCUCGGAAAGUCGGUCGUGAAAUGCCGGGGCUCAACCCCGGGACUGCGUCCGAUACUCCCGAGCUGGAGGCAGGUAGGGGAGAUCGGAAUUCCUGGUGUAGCGGUGAAAUGCGCAGAUAUCAGGAGGAACACCGGUGGCGAAGGCGGAUCUCUGGGCCUUGCCUGACGCUGAGGCGCGAAAGCUAGGGGAGCAAACGGG